UCCAGCACCCCCAUCCAGACUCUGGUGCUCCAGCACCCUAUCAAGACCAGAGAAGCUCAAGUAGAUAGUUCAACUAUUACUGGCUAGCUAGAAGGAAGAUACACUUAACUGCAGCUAUCUACAGCUUAAUAGUGAUAGUUACAAUAACUUUAUACCAGUUAGAUCUAGCUAGCUAACUAGCUGGCCUAAAAAACUUACUUUUCUUCAAUCGUUACUGGGAUAUCCAUGGGAACUAGUGAAGAGUGGGGAGGGGCUCAAUAACAAAUUAGACUAGGCAGCAGGAAGUGGUUUGCUGUAUCGAACACUUGAGCUUGCCCAACAACAUGCAGCACAACAAGGUUCUUGGAUCCAGGUACAUGAGGUACGUACUGGUGGUCAUACUUUGUACGCUGCCUGUCACCUCCUGGUAAGCUGAUCAAUCUUUUAGUGGCCUGAAAAGAAAGACUGUCGUCAGAUCAAGAAAGGAACAAACGUUUAUCAUCACUUGCACUUCUACAUUUACACAGAGACUAGACAUGAUUGCAUUGACAUUGUUGACAUACCUUCAGAAGAGUUGGCUAGAGUUUGCCAUCCCAGGAGAAUUAAGCUUCUGGUUAAGGUUAUAAACAUUCUUGAUUUGCUGA